rnacentral:tRNA from 1 species
GGAAGUAGCUCAGUGGUAGAGUUGCUUGCCUAGCAAGCAUAAGGCCCUGGGUUUGGUCCCCAGUAAUUCA